UACAGAGGAUGCAAGCGUUAUCCGGAAUGAUUGGGCGUAAAGCGUCUGUAGGUGGCUUUUUAAGUCCGCCGUCAAAUCCCAGGGCUCAACUCUGGACAGGCGGUGGAAACUACCAAGCUGGAGUACGGUAGGGGCAGAGGGAAUUUCCGGUGGAGCGGUGAAAUGCGUAGAUAUCAAGUGGAACACCAGUGGCGAAGGCGAGUCUCUGGACAUUUCCUGACGCUGAGGCACGAAAGCCAGGGGAGCAAACGGG
rnacentral:rRNA from 1 species